AACCAACAGUCUACAACUUGAAACACCCGUUAAAUUGUGCAGCCUUUGGGUUCGUUUCAUAAAUGAGUGUUGUGGAAUCUGGAAAUAAGUUCAAAUCGGCGACUGCAACAGGAGCGAUACUGGAGAGCAGCAACUGGUUCGUUCGCCUCGCUGGUGCUGCUGCUGCAACAUCUACAACCGACGGAGGAGAACGGGCUGACCGACACAAUUCACGUGUAAUCUUGGUGGAAUAACGCGCGUUGAGCUGCUUUUACACAUUUUUACAGGCUUUACAGUACUUGGAGAGCAGAUCUUCUUCGCCAAUGGCAAGUCCGGUUGCAGACAUAGGACAGUCUCAUCAGCAUCACCCUGUGACCGACUCGGCCACAGACUCCGCGUUCCAGGAGGCGCAGACAUGGAUAGAGGCUGCUACAGGAAGAUGCUUUGGUGACAAAGACUUCAGAGGAGGUUUGGAGAACGGGAUUUUGCUAUGCGAGUUGUUGAGCUCUAUUAAACCCGGCCUGGUGAAGAAAAUCAACAGACUUCCGACACCCAUAGCUGGCCUGGACAACCUCAGUGUGUUUCUGCGUGGCUGUGAAGAGUUGGGACUGAAAGGCUCCCAGCUGUUUGACCCUGGAGACCUGCAGGACACGUCGACACGCCCCACUGCCAAGGGAAGUGACUGCAGCCGAAAGCUCAAGAAUGUUCUAAUCACCAUCUACUGGUUGGGUCGUGCUGCCAACGGCUGUACCUCCUACAACGGUCCCACGCUGGACCUGAAAGAGUUUGAGGGCCUGCUGUCACAGAUGCGAAAGGAGGCAGAGGAAGCAGAGAGCCCUAAACGCAGCAUCCGGGACAGUGGCUACAUCGACUGCUGGGACUCUGAGCGCAGCGACUCUCUCUCCCCGCCACGCCACGGCCGCGAGGACUCGUUCGACAGUCUGGACUCCUUCGGCUCACGCUCACGACAGACCCCAUCGCCGGACGUCCUGGUCGCCCGCGGCAGCAGUGAUGGCCGCGGCAGUGACUCAGAGUCCGACGGUCCCCCCCACAGAAAGAUACCUGAUAUCCGCAAGGAUGACAUGUCGGCACGGCGGACGUCCAUCAGCGAACCACGAACAGCCAUGCCUUUCAACCAGUACCUGCCCAACAAGAGCAACCAGAGUGGCUAUUUGCCCACUCCACUCCGCAAGAAGAAGAACGAUAAAGAAGAGGGAGCACGCAAGAGUUGGAGUACUGCCACUUCCCCUGUAGGGGGAGACAGACCACUCAGUCCAAAUGAGCCCCCUAGCUUAGCCAACCCACCUGGAGAGUCCCCCAGCUCGUCCCCUACCCCGCCCCUCGAACCCCAGAUACAGAUUCAGAAGAAGAACCAGACUAAAAAGGACGAUGACGAAGUGAAGCAGACUGCCUCUACACUUUGCAUUGAGAUCCAUGCAGCAGGCUUGAGGAGGAGCAGUGAGCCUCUGCCAUGUAGAGUCCCCCAACCCUGUGCAGAGCCCCCCAUGGUGAACGUAACUCACCUGAUCAUCACCUCUGAGCAAAGUACUCCAGCUCGCUCGUGCUCAGAGGAACUCUUCCACCAUUCCACGACUCUAGCAGCAAACGCUGCAGCAACCCCCACGGUUGCAGCAAGCCCUGUCAUCACCGCCGGGAAGCAUCCACCUGUGAUGGAGCAGGAGGAGGCGGCUGUGACGAAGGGAGCCACUGGUGUCCCGUUAGUCGCAGAACAAGAUGAGAAGCUGGCUCGCCAAAUGCUGAUCUCUCCCAAACACAUCACCACUCAGAGUCCCCCCCACUUCCUUCCUGUGCCCACUACCAUGGCAACUGCUACAACAGCAACAACUGAUACAGGCCGACGGAAGGGAAGGGCGCUGAGUGAAAGUGAUGACCCACAAGGAGGCAACUCUUGGUUGGCCAGCAGUCUUCCAACAACAUUCAGCCGCACACAUAGUGUGUCAGAUGAUCCACAGAGUGUAAGUAUGAUCGAUAUGCGUGGUGAGGAGGAGGCCAUCUCGCAGCCCCACAGUCAGGUCCGUCAUGAACUGAUGCACAACCAGUAUAACAGAAUGAAAGAAGAGGACGAUCACUGGCAGGAUGACCUGGCCCGAUGGAAAAAUCGGAGGAGGAGUAUUUCCCAGGACCUAAUCAAGAAGGAGGAGGAGAGGAAGAUGAUGGAGCAGUUGCUGUCAGGAAACACCUGUACCUCCAUGAGGAGGAGAAGCAUCAAGACUUACAGAGAGAUAGUGCAGGACAAGGAGCGUCGUGAGGAUGAACUGCGGGACGCGUACAGGAAAGCCAGAACCCCAGAGGAGGCAUCAUUCAUCCUCCAGCGUUAUGCCCAGCGUUUCUCCAUCAGUGAUGCAGUCCUGGAACGCCUACAGUUGCCAAAGAUCCUGGACCGCAGCAUAUCUGCUGAUCCCUCCUUUUCCGGCUCACCCUUCCCUCUCUCCCUGUCCGCCUCCCCAACGACCCCAGACCCCUUUGACGUGGACCCCAACGGACCCAUGAAGUAUCUGCGCCAGCUGUCUGCUCCGGCUCCGAAGUUCACGUCUACACUGGAAGCGCAAAUCGAGGAGUUUCCCAAAGACUCCUCACACCAGCGGCCUCAGAUUCGAUCUCGCUCUUCUGAGCCGCCAUCCACCAGAAACCUGUCGCCCAAACCGGUGCCUUUGCUGACGCCCAAGCCUUUCUUCCAGUCCGGACCCACAACGGCUGAACCAUGGCCCAGCAAGGCGGAUGGUUUUCUCCGAGUCAACGGCAUAGGAAGUGACGACGUUCCUUCCACGCCUGAAUCUCCUCCUCAUUUUCAGGCAUCCCCUUCCAAAACCAGCAACAGCACUGUAGAUGCUCCGUCGUCAGCACCCUCACCAACAUGCAGUCCACACACCUCAACCAGAGAAGAAAGCCCCUUGUCAACAAAGGCCAAGGAGGCACAAAGUGGCACAGAACCGGCUUCUAAGGACUUCCAAGCAGAGAAAGUCAUUCAGCAUUCGACACCACCCAGCCGGCCCACCUCGCUGCCAUCGGAGCUGCAGAAGCCAGAAGAAAGCUUUGGGAAGACUGAAAGCCAGUCAGUAGCUGCUCCAGAGGAGACGAAGUCAAGUGCCGCAGCUCAACAAAUGCCUCCUGCAGAAGCCAAACAAGAGCAACAUAUAACUGACCCAUCUGGUCAAAGCAUCUCCAACCUUGUCCAGUCAGGAAACAGCACACAGCAAAGUCAGCCAGUAACUUUACAGGCAAGUGUUCCCAGUUCCCAGGAGUUGCCACAGAGAAGAGAGAAUGUACCAAGCUUAGCUGCACCAGGAUCAUUUGAAUAUCACCCACCAAGGGAAACGACAGCAGAGUUUGCAAACAGUGUCAGGUCUCCGCUGGCAACCAGCAACCCUAAGUUACGCUGGGAGUUCUUCGUUCCGCCAGAAGAGACGGAGAAGGAUUGCCGUGGAAACGUGUCAGUCCCGGUGUUGCCCCAGGCCAGGCGGGGUGACCGCUGGUCUUGGGACCCGGAUGAGGAGCGAAAGCGUCAGGAAAGGUGGCAGCAAGAGCAGGAGCGCAUGCUGCAGGUACACAGUAUACCUCAAAGGGUAAAGCAUGGCGCACGAGUCUGCAAGGAGAAGUACCAGCGCGAGCAGGAGAAGCUGAAGGAGGAGUGGGAGAAAGCACAGAGGGAGGUGGCGGAGGAGGAGAGGAAGUACCACGAGGAGGAGCGUAGGAUACUGGAGGAAACUGUGGCGCCUCUAACUCCUCGCUCCUCAGCCCUGCCCUCCCCCAGCCGAGGCGGGGUCUCCUCUACCUCGGAGCCCCAGGACACCAUCGUCCGUUCGCUUGGUGACUGGGAACGCAAGCAGGAACUGCUGGAGAGGCACUCGAAGGGGAGCACAGAGAGUGUCGAAUGGAAACGAAGAGAAAACGACAGGACCAGUGACAUCAGCACCGCUGAUGACAGCAUGAAAACAGGCAGAAGCUCGGUGAGUCAGAGCAGCAGUCAGGCAGAGACACUCGGUCACAGUCUGCAGAACGGCCAAAAACUCCCUGCGAUGCCGACCAAAACCUCGACUCCAAUGAAGAAACAAGAAGAGCCUUCAGCAGACAGCAACAAGCCCAGCCGGCCUGCAGGAGACAGGAGGAGUGGUCCCAUAGAUAAUAUCAUGUGCCACAGCUCAUCAAAAAGCCCCGCAGCAUGUCCACCACCUCCAGACACACCGCCUCCAACACCCAACAGUGAAAUGUACAUUCCUAAACAUUACUGCAAAUGUGCCAGAGUUGUCUCGAAAUUCAACUGCUCAUCUGCAGUCCCAGGUCUGUCAGUGGGAAGAAACUGUGCUCCAGCUGUGGGCAGCCGUUAGGGAAGGGGGCCGCCAUGAUCAUAGAGACCCUCAGUCUUUACUUCCACAUUCACUGCUUUAAGUGCGGAGUGUGUAAAGGACAGUUAGGCGACACGACCACGGGGACGGACGUCCGGAUCAGAAACGGUCUCCUCAACUGCCACCAGUGCUACAUCCGCUCCCGCUCGGCCGGACAGCCAACCACGUUGUGACGCUCAACAGAAAAGCACAAGGUUCAUGGAAGAAACCCCAUCCCUGGUUUAACCCGAUAAUCUGCUAAUCAUGUCCUUCACAGCGUGUCGGGAUCUUUGCAUCCUCUGCAGCUCAAUAACCAAUGAAGAUUCGUCAGGGGGGCCCAACAAGGGUUCUGGGGACAGUCAAACGUUAAAAAAAAAUAUAUAUAUAUAUAUUCUAUAUAUAUUCUUCAUGUUUAUGUCAUCUGAUAUGUGAGUUAAAUCUGGAUUUGAUUGGUCCACAUACCACCACAGACUCUGUUUCAUCAUGCAGCAAGAGAGAGAGACUGUUCUGGGGUGGCAGCCAUGUUGAAAAGAAAAGAGUGAACACACACAAAAAGAAUAUGGUGUUCAAGUCUUUAAGGUGGUUAAGUAAAAUCAGGAUUUAUUUUCCUGUUGGAAAACAUUAGAAUAUUUGCCAUUCAAUUCCAUAUGAUGGAAAUGCAGUACAUCACAUAAUAAAUGAAUUACUUUUUUUUAUCAUUUGAGAAAGGUUUUCUUAAUUUGGAUAAAAAUCCAAAAGCUGGAGAGAACUCAGUAUGUGGUCAGGCAGCUCAGGUUGGAUUUUGUUAUUUCUCUAAACAGAAUGGAUCUGAAAAAUAUGAAUAAUUGAAUUCACCUUUAAUUGAGUGCUAGAUUGAAACAAAAUGUAUACAAAAACUUAAUUUAGAAAGUGCAGUAAAGGUCACUACAAACCAUAGAUUUAGAUCCACAGACACAAUAUCUACAGUAAGUCACUAUUUUCCCUACAGAACAAUGUAUCUUGUUCUGUGCUCCUAAAUAAAAUUAGCCUCUAAUAUAAACACAUAUUACGGAUGUAGUUUCAUCUUUAGGGCGAUAACACAACUCGUGAGCUGUUUUUGUGCUUUGGGUCACAGCAGGUUGCUCCUCGGCCAGUCUGUCCGCUUGGAAAGUCAGGACUUCAAUGUGCCUUAGGAAAGCAAGGUGAUGCAGGAAAAAACACACCAGCUGUAUGGUGUUGUAUUUUUUCAUUUGUAUGGGUGUAGGGAGGGAUACGGGCAAAUUUUAACCCUUAAAUUGCAGACAGACAGGCUGCAGCCCUCCCUUACAUCACGCUUUACUUCAGUACUGCUUAUUUUACAUAAACAACACCUUUAAUUUCCUAUUUCCCCCCUGUUAUUCCUCAGUGAUUUGCAGUGAUAACAACCAGUGCAAAGGAAUACAUUUGUUGUCUAUUUGGGAAAAAAUAUAUACUGCAGGGCAAACCAUGGAUUUCAUUUUGAAUGUUUUAUUCUAGAGAGGUAUAGGUAUAUAUUCUGUAUGCUAUUAGUUGAGGUAAUUUUGAUAAUUGCUCAGUGGUAGGAUUCAUUAAUACAAUUACAAAACACAAAAAUCACCACUUAAUGUUGCAUCUAGUUAAACAGCAAAGGUCAUAUGAACACUCAUACCAGCAGCAGUUGCACCUGUGCAAUAUUUGGUUGGAUGAAAACUAAAGAUCUGUGCUGCCAGCUGGACAUUUUAGGUCACUUGCUUCUUUUUUUAAAACUUGUAUGAGAGGAGCUCGGUUAUGUAUUGUGGAAGUAAAAAAAAAAUGCACGUUUAAGCCUAAAACCAAAUGAUUUGCUGUAUGAAAGCAAACUAGCAGCCUCCUCCUCCUGAACUGCGUCCUAUAGCCAAGCUUCUCCUCUGGUUUCAUCUCUCUGAUCUACAGUAUUUUUAAGCUUCUGUUCUGGUUGUGUAUUUUAUUUUUUAUCCUCAUUUAGUUAUUGAAUAAAUCUCGGCUGAGUCUCUUAUAGCAGGAUCUUUGAGACGGAGCUCUAUAUUCAGACAGUUUUCCUAACAGGAUAGUUGGGGAAUGAAACCUUUACGUCUGUUCUGUAUUUAUUGUAAUAUUCACCUGAACACUAUCCGAAAUAUAGAUUAAUUUGAUGUUUAAAUGCAAUGGCAUUUAUAUCAUACUGUAUGUUUAUAAAUAAAAUGUUAUAAAUUAAA